UUCACAGAAAAUGCACCGCCCCGAGUGUCUUAUUGCUGUGAUGAAAUGGAAAUUUAAAUAAAAGGUCGAACACGUGCGUUCACUGGGAAGUAUUGACAUGGGUGUUACAUCACCACCAGCCAAUCAGAUAACUCCAGUCGUGUUUAUACUUCUACAACCACCUUGUCUUCCUGAUAUAUAUAAAGAAAUAUUAAGGUCUUCCUCUAAACCUUAAGGGAGAUGGAAUCAAAAUCAAAGUUCAAGAGGAUAGUAAUCACAAACGUCUCAAAACAGCUCUGAGUAAAGAUAUUGAACUAAUGUUUCCAUCGAAUUUACAUUAAAAACAAUAAUCAUAUACAUACAAUGGAAUAUUAUUCUGUCCUAAAAAAGGAGGGAAAUCUUGCCAUUUGUAACAAUAUGGUUGAAACUGGAGGACAUUAUGAAAUGAAGGUGAAGCUCUUCCGAACAUUCGUGAUCAACCAACAUGAAAUUCAUCUUGAACUUUGAUAUAUUACUCUUGCAACAAGACCCAUAAAGAAUGGCUAUGCCACUAUACCUCUGUUCUCAAAAGGAGUUGACCAGACAGUGUAGGUGGAGAAGGAAAAACUCAGAAGCACUUUUGGAUAAACUGCUCAAAGUAGUUGCACUACUUACAAUGGCUCAGCAGAGUCUUCUGCAUGAACAAAGGCAGUGAACGUGAGUGAGGUAUGAAACAUAAUGCAGAUAAUGCACAAGUUAUGCCCUUCAAGGCCAUGAAUGAUUGUGGCCAACCUUGGAAAAGAAGUCAGGCAUCCCAUGAGUAGAAUUAAAAAAAAAAAAAUGAAGUCAACUCCUGAGCCACACAGAGAAUACCUGUAUACACACUCUUCUGAGCUUCUGCAACCACGGAAAACCACGGGGGAGAUCAUGUGAACAGAGAGCCUCUCUUCCUGGUCUCUGGCAGCAUUAUCUCAUGUGAUCCUUCUACAAUCAUGUAAGGGGCCUCCUAUGACUGAUGUGUUAGUCCUGCUUUGCAAAUCAGAGGAAACCAAGGCUUAGGAUAAGUGAACUGCCUGAGUUCACACGACUGGCAAGAUGCAGAGCAGGGGUUGAAUUCCAGUCUGCAGAACUGCAAAGCUGCCUCUCAAACACCAGCUUGAAUACCAGAUAUGUAGGAAGGCUGUGUGUACAGCACCAGCUAGGUUUGGAAGACAGGACGUGAAAGUCAACAACCCACGCUCCAAAGCAAGGCUCUCCCCGCAAUUCCAGGAGCCUCACCUUGCACCGGCAGGGGCAACAGUCUGAAUCCCAACUCCCACCGGAUGAUAUAGAGGCCUGCACGUACAGCAGGUGGCAUUACAGGAGAAGAAACCUGAGUUUGGGGCACCCACAUCUUACAUGGGCAGUAACUUUGCCUGACUUUUGCCUUCGAGGGAAACACUAUCUACAAGGCUGUAAGCAAAUCUACCCUUUGCUUCAGAGGAAACACUCUACUCUCUCUGUCUUCCAAGAGUGCUCACUAUACAGUCAUCUUUGAAAGGACAGUCUGGAACAAGAUGUGCAGAAACAUGAGAGACCCGCGGAGAAGUUUCCGAUGAGUAUUGCACUCUGUCAGCCACCUACCGAGCGUGUAAACCACCAGGUUCUACCUUAGUGGGGCUGUGAAACACACAAAGCUAUGGCUGUAGCAGGCUGGCUUGAGGGACGAAUGCCGGGGUGAGUGCUACCAGAGAGAAGGCCAAGUGCAGCAGGAGGAGAGAGCAAAGAGAAGUCUCACCUGCUC